rnacentral:tRNA from 1 species
AAAAAGAUAAGCUAAUAAAGCUAUUAGGUUCAUACCCUAAAUAUAGAAUUUGUCAUUCUUCUUUUUA